GUUGUUAAGCUUGACUUCCGAAAGGCCUUUGACUCGGUCUGCUGGACCUCCCUCCUUUGUACCAUGCGGACUCACGGUUUCCCCGACCGCUGGUGUGAAUGGGUCAGCUCCCUCCUCUCCUCUGGACUCACGACGGUCAUGCUAAAUGGUGUGCCGGGCCAUUGGAUCCAAUGCAAAAAUGGACUCCGUCAAGGUGACCCCCUUUCACCUUACCUCUUCAUCAUCUUGGCUGACAUCCUCUAG
rnacentral:rRNA from 1 species